GAUAUUUUCAGCCUUUAUAUACUGGGUAGAACUAACAUCACCAGUAAAUAGUCAAUUUGAGAUGGGUGCGUCAUAGAGGCUUCUGCACAGUAAUAUUUCAUCUGAAUCUAUCUACUCCUGAGCACAGCCAGAUAUAUCCAUAAUGUAGACAAGUGUGCAAGAUAAUUGAUCUAAAUUUUUUAAAAGGUCAAAGAAGCUAUUUGGGGUGGGCAAGAAGGCACAGAAAAAAAAAACUAUGAUAUCAAGCUUAGUGCCGGUAGCUGUUGAUGACAUUGAUGGCUUAGGAUAUGGUGUGUGUUUCAGCAUUCGCUAGUGUUUCUAGACAUUAUUUAUCGAAUCUUUUUUGGGGGGUGGGGUUUGAGAGGGUGUGGAAAUGAGGGAUUCUGAGGGUCAAACCUAGGUCUGUGUGUAUCCUAGAUAUACUCUACAUCCCUAGCCACAUUGAAGAGUUACUGCGAACUGAGUACAUUGCUAACCAGGUAGAAGGAUGACUGAACAAUCUUGGGAACAGUAAAAGCUGGCGGGUCUGGUCAUGACUGGUGGUGCACGCCCGUAAGCCCAGCUCCUGCAGAGAUCGAGCCAGGAGCAUUACAUGGUUGAGGCUAGUCUGGGCUACAUAAUGAUUUUUUUUUAAUCUCAGGACUAAUUUUUAAAGGGAGAGUAGGUAUCUCUAGAACCCAAUGGUAGAGUACUUGUCUAAGGAGUGCAAAGCCCUGUGUUCCAUCCCCCUUACCACAAUACCACAAACACACAAAACCCUGGGUGAUCUAGGUAAAGGAUGUAUCGACAUUCGUUACAUUGUUCUUGGAUUUAUGAAUAGAAACUUUCUAAUUAAAGGUCAGAUGGGAAAAAGAGUCAGAUGCAGGAAAAGUAAAAAGUCUCCUGGGUGGUGAGGGCAGCCAUGGAAAGCCAUUCUCAGAAGGCCUGGAUGCACACGCAUAUCUGUUGCACAGCACUGACCAUGCAGACCAUACUCACCGGACUCAGACUCCUUAUGUCUAACUGUGGAAAUGUUAAUAAUGCCUUUUUCUGAUGAGUCCACAGCAAGAUUUUUAACGACAGUGCCACUGACAUUUGGAGCAGGUUCUGAGGAUGUCCUGCAUGUGGAAGGAUGUUCAGCGUCCUGGUCUCUAUUCACUAAGUACCAGCAGGACCCCUUCCUUGCAAGUUGUAACAAACAAAAAAAAAAAUUUCCAGACAUCCUCGGGGGCCCAGAGAAGGCAAAAUUGGCUCCAUUGGAACACCACUGGUCUAGGGAAAGUACCCAGUACAAUUUCCUUAGAAACGUCUGAAUGGCGAACACAUAACUCCAUGGUUAAAGUGGGACUUAUCUCAAAGUCCCAAGCUAGGUCGAGAGAAUUUACAUUUUUUUUUAAUGUGCAUGUGUGCCACGGUGCACCUAUGAAGGCCAAAGGACAGCUUAACAGCAAGUGUCUAUCUGCCAAGCUACUUUAUCUGUCCAGAUAUUUAAUAUUUUUUGCAUCAUUUCAUCUGUGUGGGGGGGGGCAUGAAAGUGUGUGCAUGUGUGUGUACAGCGUGCAUGUGUGUGUGUGUACAACGUGCAUGUGUAUGAGUAGGGGGAGGGGAAUGCCUGAGUGUGUAAGAAAGCCAGAAGAGGGCCUCAGAUACCUCAGUGCUGGAAUUACAGACAUUUGUGGGAUGCCCAGCUUAUUAUAUACAUGCAGAGAUGUAAUGUGUGUGUGUUUAAGGGCAUGCUCUCACCCUGUAACCCUGGCUGGCCUUGAACUCACUAUGUAGACCAGGCUGGUCCCUGACAGCCUGCUUCUGCCUCCCAAGUGCUGUGAUUAGAGGCCUGUGCUACCAUACGUGGCCCCAUAGAAUAUUUUCAGGGCCAGCACCGGAGACAGACUGCCUGGCUUCAAGUACAGCCUGCCAGCUCUAUAACCUUAUAACCUCUUGGUCUUCUUUUGUGUGUACAACACUGAUCUAAUAACUGUUUUCCAUGGGAUUUUAACUAGUCAAUUGUCCAAUCAUCAAUAAAGUUAUAUUAUUAUUUACUGCUACUGUGAAUGAAUUUUCACAGUUCCCUGGCACAAAGAAGAUAAGCUGAGCUUCCUGAAUCUAUAAAACCAAAAUCUAGAAUGUUCCAAAAUCUAGACUCACUUGUCACUGUAUUACCACAUGAGAGAUGUCAUAUCAUGGACUUUGUGUCACUCACAAAAGUAAUUGAAGUAUCUUCUAAGUUACUUUCACGCCAGACACAAUAGCAUAUAUCUUUAAUCCCAGCACUUAGGCAGAGGCAGGCACGAUCUCUGUGAGUUUGAGGCUAGCCUGGUCUAUAUAGUAAGCUCCGGGUCAACUCUAGGUUACAGAAUGAGACCCUGCUUCAAAAUAAGUAAAUAGAUAAAGUUACUUUCAGUUCAUAUCACCCAUGAAUACAUUUCCUAUAUUUUUGCCUUGGGUCCUAUCCCUGAGAUACCUCAUUAUGUAAAUGCAAGCAUUUCAAAAUGCAAAUAUUCUGAAACCUGAAACCGAUCCAGCACCACACAUUUCAAACAGGGAUGCUCUGCCUUUAAAUACACAGCCCAAGACAGGAAGCAAGCGAUGCGGUUCUUCAGCCCAUCAGUACAACUUUCAGACAUCCUGAAAACCCGAGCCAGCUUGGGAGGCUGCCACCCCCAAGGGGUCACAUCAGGCAACUAGAUUUGAGGCUGCCUACUCCCAGCCCAACAAUCCCAGUUAAAGGAGGUAUGGCCAGAGCCUCAUCUUGAUCUUCUUGUAGGUUUUAUAAAUCUUCUUGGAUAACAGGCUGGCAAGGCCACAUGCCUGGCCUCUAACUCAGAUGGCCUGCUGGGCCUUGUGAAGAUUUCAUCAUUUGGCCUCAUCUGCUGUGAGUACCAGUCAUUGGUGGGGCCAUACUGUGGGAUAGACUUUACCAUCGACUUGCUGGUGUAAUCUCCAGGCCCGUGGGGAAGCAGAAAGAAACGAACAUUUAUUGUGUACCUACUGUAUGCUUAGAAAGCAAUAAGCAAGGCCUUCCACGUAUACUUUCCUGCAAGGUAGUGACAAGGAAACGGCAAGUGGCCUUUUCCAGAGUCACACCACUGCAGGAUUCCUAAGCAGAUUUGACCUUGAAAUCUUUAUUCCCUUCAUGUAAGGCAAGUUCACAAAUCACAUGUCAGGGGCCUCUGUCUGGGUCCUCCCAGCCUGAAGCAGGUGAAGGUUGGGAGAUAUGGGUCCUUUGAGGCCUUGCUAUGCUCAUUUGCCUCUCCAGACUUUGAUUUCCCAACUGAGAAAUGAGUCACUGAACCACCAUAGUUUAAAGU
rnacentral:lncRNA from 1 species